rnacentral:rRNA from 1 species
AUUGAACGCUGGCGGCAUGCCCUACACAUGCAAGUCGAACGGUAACGCGGGGCAAUCUGGCGACGAGUGGCGAACGGGUGAGUAAUGUAUCGGAACGUGCCCAGUUGUGGGGGAUAACUGCUCGAAAGAGCAGCUAAUACCGCAUACGACCUGAGGGUGAAAGCGGGGGAUCGCAAGACCUCGCGCAAUUGGAGCGGCCGAUAUCAGAUUAGGUAGUUGGUGGGGUAAAGGCUCACCAAGCCAACGAUCUGUAGCUGGUCUGAGAGGACGACCAGCCACACUGGGACUGAGACACGGCCCAGACUCCUACGGGAGGCAGCAGUGGGGAAUUUUGGACAAUGGACGCAAGUCUGAUCCAGCCAUGCCGCGUGCGGGAAGAAGGCCUUCGGGUUGUAAACCGCUUUUGUCAGGGAAGAAACGCUCUGGGUUAAUACCUCGGGGUAAUGACGGUACCUGAAGAAUAAGCACCGGCUAACUACGUGCCAGCCGCCGCCGUAACAC